GGGCAGUCGGGUAAGGUUUCCAACACACUCACACAUAGCAGCUCACACACGACUGUAACUGCAGUUCCACAGGAUCUCCUGGUCCCUUUUGUCCUCCACGGGCACCAGGCAGAUGUAUGAUGAAAAAAACAAAAAAAACAAAGCAAAACAAAAAAACCUCACUCAGGCCCAUAAAAUAAAAUAAAAUAAAAUAAAUAAAUUUAAAAUUAAAAACAAAUUGAAGAUGAGCAUGGUGGCUCAGGACUUGAAUCCCAUUACGUGGGUAGCCAGCCAGGGCUCCCAAGGCACUGUCUCAAACAGAUACACAAAUCAAGUUCUCAAGGAGACAUGUGUGAAUGCUAAUGCUUGUCUUAUUCAUAAGAGCAUAGUCAACACUUCCGAGUAGUCAGUAUGGGUUGGGAGCUGUUCUAAAACAAGCCAGUGUUAGGUCACAGGAUCCUUAAACAAAUCUCAGAACCUGGGCUUUCCCCAGCAGACAACUGAGAACUUGUAAGACUGACAGAGUUUCCCAACUAGUUAAAUGGCUGGGAGGCCCGGGCCUUUAACACUACACAUUGUACUACAAUGCUAGCAAAAGACAGGAAGGAGUUUAGCUCCCAACAGAGAACUGUUUUGUUUUUGAUUGGUUUUAUUUUCAAGACAGUCUCAUUAUGUAGUCCUUCCUAGCUGUCCUGAACUCACUCAGUAGACCAGGCUGUCCUUGAACUCACAAAGAUUCGCCUGCUAUAAAGGUAUGUUCCACUACACGUGACUAAGAGAGAACUUUAAAUUAUAAUAACAUUUAUUAUCAUAUAUAAUUAAUACCUAUAAUUACUGUCAUCUUUCAUGGUGUUGAAACUGAUGUUAAUGGGCAUGAAGGAGGAAAAGGCAAGACUACAGAUUUUAUCUGUAAUACCAUUUUGAUUUUCAAAAUGACACUAUUGUAAGAGACUCCGUAAAGUUCUAAGUAUGCACACAGGGAAGUAGUCUGGGAGAAAGCGAUGCACACAAUGGUCACGGUGCUUUUCUGAGAGACAGCGUUCCAGGACUUUUGUUUUCUUCCUAAUCCACUUCUGUGUUUGGGGAGUAAGCUGAUCCUCCAUUUCUCCAAAUCUCAGGAGAGCCAUGAAGCUGCUUCUGAGGCUGUGACUACUACAUCGCUGCCCAUGUCACUGCAUACGGCAGCACUGCCGGUUCAUUUCAAACAUAGAGCGUCAGGGCUUUGUCACGCUCAGCCGGAUGGAGGCUCAGGGCAGCGUGCCGGCCUCAGCAUAGAGGCCCCUGUUUUCUCCGUAGGCAGAGAUCUUCUGUUUCCAUGACUGUCCUGCAGACGUGGCUGUAAACAUUUCUCGACAUCUAAACAUGUGGAGUCUAACUGGAUUUCCAGUUUUCCGCCUCGAGGUAUCUCUGUUCCCUGUUGCCUCAUUAAACAUACUCGGGCCUUGGGCACUUACUGCCAAGCUGAUGACCUGAGUUCAAUCCCCAGGACCCAUAUGGUGGAAGAGAACCGACUCUGCAAGCUAUUCUCGGACUUUCAUAUGUGUGCUGUUGUAUGCUCCUCCUCUCCUGACCCAUUAAAUAAAUGAAUGUC
rnacentral:lncRNA from 1 species